AUGCCACCUACUGUCGCACGGGAGGCAUCAGCGAACAGGAGCCCUGUCGCCGAGCCACAGUCCGGUCGCGGCCGGCGCUGACCCACUUUCCCUCCCGCCUCCCCAGCCAGAGCCCAGAAUAAACGCAGCCACACAGCAGGGAGGAGCUUGAGGCACGGAGAGAGUGAAUCGCCUGCCUGGCUCACACAGCAUUUCACUACAGCAACAAGAAACGUAACUAAUACAGCGGUGACUCUCACAGCAUCCAGAACGCUGCAGAGGUGCAGCCCUUUCUCAUCCUGCCAGAACCGACUGGAGCUGUGGUUCAUUGGCACACCAGCGUCAUUGAGAAUCCUGCUGAGUAUCGCCAGCCCGGGAAGAGAUCAAAACUGAAAUGCCAAAGGAUGGCUUUGACCGAACGAGUGUGCCUUAGGCACCACGAUAAAAUUGGGCAACUGUAGGUCCAGGCACCAUGAAACUGGGACCGUGUGUGUGUGUGUGUGUGUGUGUGUGUGUGUGUGUGUGUAUGCGUGUGUAUAUGUAUGUGUGUGUAUAUGUAUGUGUGUGUAUGUGUGUGUGUGUGUAUGUGUGUGUGUCUGUGUGUGUAUGUGUGUGUAUAUGUAUGUGUGUGUAUGUAUGUGUGUGUGGCGUAGCUUAUUGGCUCUGCUCCAGAGAACCUGAGAGACAAAACCCUGUUGGUUCUAACCUCUCGACUGCCAGGUUUCUUUGAUAUGAGAACAGGACCUCUCCAUGACAGAACUGGAGGCUGGUUAUUUUCCAUGCGAGCAGCCGCUUCUAACUUUGGCAUCCGGGACACUUCUGUAUGUGAAGAAUCCUUGCCUUCUUCACAUGACCCUCCAGGAUUUUUCUGUACAAGGGCGUUAACCUUUGACUAUUCCGUGUGCUGUAUUUUCUUGCUGGAGAGCAUGUGUCUCUAUUUUGUUUGGAGGUAGCUUCCGUCCUAGAAUACAUUUUUUACGUUUGCUUGCUUACCUUAUGCCUGUAUGAGAGGAACAGUGCUGUCGCAUCUGUGUAGGUCAGAGGACAGCUCGUGGGAUUUGAUUCUCUCCCUCCACCAUGUGAGUUUUAGCUAGGGCUUGGCAGCAAGGGCCUUCACCCUCUGAGCACUGCCACUGGCUCCUAGUUACAAUCUUAAAGCCUGUGACAGAAAUCCAGCUCAGUAAAAUAUAAUGCAGAGGGUUUUACCAAGAAACUCAUGUAACUAGGAUCAUAUUCAGAUAUGUGUAUGUAUUAGGAAGCAAUACAUCUUUCAGCUGAUGUCCUUAAAUGAAAUUAAAUUUUUUCCUUGACUAAGUCUCUGAAAGUUUUGAUUAGAUCUUGGAUUGUUUGAUUGUUUCUGAUUUUUGUUCCCAUUGCACAUUUCCUCUCCUCCUUGGUAUGCAAGGGCAGUAUUGAUUUCUGUUUGUUGUGUCUGAUUGCCACGGACUCUGAGAGCCCAUUGGGCCUCUUGUGGAUUAAUUACACUAAUAUUGACGUCAUCUUCCAGCUCUUGCAGUAGCCUGUGUUCUCCUGGAUUCUGUUUCUUCCCUGUGUUGAGUUCCUUCCUUGUGCAUCUGGAUUGUCUCAUCCCAUUUGUGAGUUCCCGAACAGUGGCUCCCAAAGUCCACCCGAUGGGUUCCUGAGACUCUUUCAAGGGCAUCUGCAAAGUCAAGACGAUUCAGUGGGAGCACAAAGACUUGUUCUCAUGGGUGUUGAGAGGAGUUUUCCAAAGCCCACACGAUGUGUAAUAUCACAACAGCUUGCCGGCGAAUUCAGAUAUGGAAAUCCAGCUGUCUGCUAAGCCAGACACUGGGAAGUUCUUCAAAAAUAUAAAACAUUGUCACUCUUUUAUUAAAAAUGGCUAUUUUUCAUAAAAAAUAUUCUAAUUAAUGUCAUUGUUACUACUAUUUAAAAA